rnacentral:rRNA from 1 species
CAGUAGCCGCGGUAAUACAGAGGAUCCAAGCGUUAUCCGGAAUCAUUGGGUUUAAAGGGUCCGUAGGCGGUCUUGUAAGUCAGUGGUGAAAGCCCAUCGCUCAACGGUGGAACGGCCAUUGAUACUGCAGGACUUGAAUUAUUGGGAAGUAACUAGAAUAUGUAGUGUAGCGGUGAAAUGCUUAGAGAUUACAUGGAAUACCAAUUGCGAAGGCAGGUUACUACCAAUUGAUUGACGCUGAUGGACGAAAGCGUGGGUAGCGAACAGGAUUAGAUACCCCAGUAGUCCCUGUCUCUUAUAC